UACGUAGGGUGCAAGCGUUGUCCGGAAUUAUUGGGCGUAAAGAGCUCGUAGGCGGUCUGUCGCGUCUGCCGUGAAAGUCCGGGGCUCAACUCCGGAUCUGCGGUGGGUACGGGCAGACUAGAGUGAUGUAGGGGAGACUGGAAUUCCUGGUGUAGCGGUGAAAUGCGCAGAUAUCAGGAGGAACACCGGUGGCGAAGGCGGGUCUCUGGGCCGAUACUGACGCUGAGGAGCGAAAGCGUGGGGAGCGAACAGG
rnacentral:rRNA from 1 species